AGUGACUCAACACAGGCAAAGUUGGAGUACCAGGAAAUCCUCCUAGCAUAAAUAGGAUGAUAGUUUCACAGUGAGACUAACAUGAGCAAGUUCUGUAGAAUUUCACAGAACUAAACGGUGAGUCCCAAAUUACAAAGAUGCACACAUCUCUGGUUUUGAUGUGUGAGAAAGAUUAGUAGGUCUUGCAGGCUACAAUGGCCUAGGAACGUGUGCAUGAGAAGAUGUGCUAAGCUUCCUAUCACAAACUAUACGUUGAACAUGUGUGUUAAGAGUUUCUUUUUUAUUAAUUAAACUUUUUAAUAUAACUUUGGGAAGCAAUGCUCAUUCUAAAAUUUAGACAUUCUUUGGAGAGAAUAAGCCAGAUAUAUAGGUCAGCAUAAUUCUCUGAAAAUGAUUACCUUGAAAAAGAAAUAUGUUUGAAUGCAACUUAGUCCAUGCCUCCAGAACCUAAAAUAAAUUAAGCUCACUUGAUAGGAGUUUUAGACCUCAAAAUUCCUUUUGUAUAUACAUUAAUUUAAAAAUUUUUAGUAUUAUUUGAUUUUUAUUGGGAAGGAUGAAUAUUUAUGCUAUCAAAGACAUUUGCAAUUCCUUAUCCUGGAAAUUAAAAGUUGUGAAUACGGACUUUGUGCCAUUCCCUGUUGGAUGCUAGAAUACAUCCCACUCUGGAACAUUCCUCCAUCUUAUUCUGGGACUAGCUUUGCUGAAAUGGGGAUUGGAACCAAUAAUCCCACUGUUUAGGGGACAAGUCCUUUCUAGACGUGUCAGCUCACUCAAGGCUCCAUCAAGCCAGGGAAUAUGCACUCCAUUUGGAAAGAAGAAUCAGGGGAAGUUUGUUUUACACCAGAAAUACCCCAAAAUUAUUUACUAUGUUAUUUAAUAUGUUUUGUCUUCAAAUUCAUGUAUUCAUGUUAAUCUUUAGUUCUGAAAUAAAUAUUUCCCCUUUUACUUUUCUUUUGUUCUAGAUUUUUUAAAAAGAGAACAAUAAAC
rnacentral:lncRNA from 1 species